CUGUGGGAUCAGUGGCGAACGGGUGAGUAACACGUGAGCAACCUGCCCCUGACUCUGGGAUAAGCGCUGGAAACGGCGUCUAAUACUGGAUAUGUGACGUGACCGCAUGGUCUGCGUUUGGAAAGAUUUUUCGGUUGGGGAUGGGCUCGCGGCCUAUCAGCUUGUUGGUGAGGUAAUGGCUCACCAAGGCGUCGACGGGUAGCCGGCCUGAGAGGGUGACCGGCCACACUGGGACUGAGACACGGCCCAGACUCCUACGGGAGGCAGCAGUGGGGAAUAUUGCACAAUGGGCGAAAGCCUGAUGCAGCAACGCCGCGUGAGGGAUGACGGCCUUCGGGUUGUAAACCUCUUUUAGCAGGGAAGAAGCGAAAGUGACGGUACCUGCAGAAAAAGCGCCGGCUAACUACGUGCCAGCAGCCGCGGUAAUACGUAGGGCGCAAGCGUUAUCCGGAAUUAUUGGGCGUAAAGAGCUCGUAGGCGGUUUGUCGCGUCUGCUGUGAAAUCCCGAGGCUCAACCUCGGGCCUGCAGUGGGUACGGGCAGACUAGAGUGCGGUAGGGGAGAUUGGAAUUCCUGGUGUAGCGGUGGAAUGCGCAGAUAUCAGGAGGAACACCGAUGGCGAAGGCAGAUCUCUGGGCCGUAACUGACGCUGAGGAGCGAAAGGGUGGGGAGCAAACAGGCUUAGAUACCCUGGUAGUCCACCCCGUAAACGUUGGGAACUAGUUGUGGGGUCCAUUCCACGGAUUCCGUGACGCAGCUACCGCAUUAAGUUCCCCGCCUGGGAGUACGGCCGCAAGGCUAAAACUCAAAGGAAUUGACGGGGACCCGCANAAGCGCGGGAGCAUGCGGAUUAAUUCGAUGCCACGCGAAGAACCUUACCANGGCUUGACUUAUUNCAGAACGGGCCAGAAAUGGUCAACUCUUUGGACCCUCGUAAACAGGUGGUGCAUG
rnacentral:rRNA from 1 species